AUGCACACAUAUCAAGCUCAUACAACAAGCUUCUUCACCCAGGUACAAGAAAACCAAGCACACAUGGCACAUAGCCUCCGCCAGCUGCAAGAUUCUAACGCAUCACUAACAGUCCAAAUUCAGCAGCUUCAGCUCUCCGAACGUCCACACCACGGUAGGAGUCAUUGCCGACGAAAAUAUUCAUCUGACGAGACAGGGGGUAAUGGAGGCAUGCAUUAG